rnacentral:misc_RNA from 1 species
AACAGAGAGUGUGUUGGACAGUAUACAAACGUCAGGAUGGCAAGAAGCGCUAAUCUCACGGUUCAAUAUCAAAACUUUCUAAAGGAGUCGUUCGAAAAAGAGAAAACGCAUCGACUAAUGUGGUAUAAUAAACGUCGUCAGUUGACGACCAGAUCUCGGCAGCUGGAAGUUUUUCGUAAAAAGAUCACAGAAGAAGGCAAACCUUCCGAAGCGCUGUUGGAAAAACUUCCAGCCAUCAAGGAGGAGCCACGUUACAACCACAGAAAAGUGAACUUGAACGAACCACCACCCAUGCCACGGUCCCUGACGGAGUUUGAUCUCAAGCAAGAAAUGCGACCUGCCUCUCCAAGUACCAUGAACGUUCUGUAUGAUGGUUUUACUAAAGAAGGCAAAGGCCGAUACAAGUACCUCAAGCUCCGCUAUGAAGAUAUCCCGGAGACCAAAUUCCAGUUCCCUGUCAUCAGUUCCUGGGAGUAUGGCUGGCACCAAGCACAAGAAAUCAAGAAGGAGGACAUUAAAAAACCAGAAAACGGCCGUACGGCCAACAUCCAAAAUUCUUUCUAUACCAGGAAUGGCGUCUUUCCAAAUCCAUCAAACUUCUAGGAUUCCAGCUGUCAACAAUUAGGAGCCUGCAAGAAUCUAAAUUUGAAAGACAAUUUACCUGUAAACUACAUCUGCAUGAUGAUAGAAAUGACAAACUGCUGUUACAUGCUGCUUUCGCAAAGCAAAAGUGGAACAUCCUGGACAAUGUUUGACCCCUGCUGGUACACAUCCUCUGAUAGUCGUGACCACUGACGCCUGGCUGAAGUGCAUAAAGUCCUAAUCGCACCUGCGGUCAUUCCUCGCAGUUCUCUCUCUCUCCCAGAUGUCCUGUUGCUGGCGGUCGACCUACGCGAAUUUCGCAACACUUCAGUCAUGUCCGAGAUUUCGCUGUCACCACGGUGAUGAUGACUGGGGGAGGUUUUGGUGUUAUCAGCAGCACCGGAUGUCAGCGUUUUCCUUUGUGUGUGUGUGUGGUUUUUUUUUUUUUUUUAUCGUCUACUCCAGUUUCCCCCACAAGUCUUCCAAGUGGUGUCAUCACAUGCAAAGUUCGAGUGCAACGACUAACUUUUGAGUUGGUCAGCAGGCCACCAACGAUCGCCGAAAUCCCGACGUCGAUCUGCUUAUCUCGCUCUGCACGUGGCAAAAUAUCUUAGUUCCUGCAAAAGUUUGUGCAAUCCAUGCCCCCAGAGGCGCCCUCAGUACAGCCUAACAAUGGUUUCAUCCCCUCUUCCCAAAACACUCGACUUGGUGUUGAUGGAGAAGUGAUAAAAAUGUACUUUUCUUCAAAGUCUUUCCCCAGACCAGAUCUUUUAAAUAACUGUUAAAUAUAUACAUGUUCACCUACUUUUAAAAUUUAUUUCUUGACUGAUAACUACACCGCAGACACAAAAAACGUUACGUAUGUACGGUACGUGUCAGCGUGAUCUCAGAGGUAUUUAUAAGCACUCUAGUUGUAAUGGUUCACAGAACAGCAAAUCCGUAAAAUCUUUGCACAAAUGUAAGAAAUUCAAAUAGUCCUCGUCAAUAUAACUUGCAGACGGUCUAAUUAGUUUUAUAGCUACGUGUUUCAAGCAAUUAUAACGCACCUAUUGAAACCUCGCAGCACGGACAUUAGAUCGGUUAAGAGAAUUCCUCCACAGCCAGCCUAUAGUUUGAUUUUUUUUUUUUUUUUUUUUUUUGGUAACCCACGCGGCUGUUACAACUAGAGAAAUCUUUCGUUUCAUAGUAAGAUCUGAUCACAGGUGAAAUAGGUCAGUCAUCUGCUCGUCGUUGCCUAGAAGGGCAGUGCACCCGGCCUCUGUCAGAAACCCUCGUUCAACUGAUUUUUGGCUGUGACAAUCAGGAAUAGUAAAAUAUGGGGGCAUGAGAAAACAAAAACCUGCUUUAAGCGCAAUCAAUUUACUUUAGUCCUUGUUACUCGAGGAGCAUAGGGACCACAACAACACCUCGCCAGUGCCCGGUUUUGGGCAGCCUUCUUCAGUUGUGCCCAUGUGGUUCCGAUUGUCCGUUGCCUCGCUCUCUAUUGUUCUUUUCCAAGUCUGCUUUGGUCUCCAUACUCUUCUCUUUCCUUGAGGGUUCCAAUCAAGUACCUGCUUGGCAAUGGUGUCAGCUGGUUUGUACAGGGUGUGUCCUAUCCAGCCCCAUUUGUGCUUUUUGAUGUCAUGGGUAGUGACAUUCUGGCUGGUUCUUUUCCACAGGCUGCUGUUGGAGAUCUUGUCAGGCCAUUUUAUUCCCAGAAUAUGGCGUAGGCAUCGGUUGGUAAAGGUCUGCAGCUUGUUGUUGAUGGUGUUUGUCACUCUCCAGGUUUCAGAACCAUACAGUAGGACAGUUUUCACAUUUAAUCAGGCUUAUCUGCAUAACUGACGUCACGUUUGACUUCUUCUUAUAAAUAAUGAUAUUUGUAGGCUUGUAUUUCGAGAAUCAUAAGUGGAAAUGUGGACAUAUACUGUCUGGAGAAUAAGAUCUGGAAAAUGACCAUUAAAACUCUUCUAAAGUAUUCAUCCUCGAUUCUUCAAUAAGUAAAUAUACUAAAUGAACUUGGCAAUAUUGUUAAAUAAUAUUCAAUUUAUUAAAGAAUGAUCAAUACAAAAUAUGAAAAACUGCUUAGCAAUGUUUUCUCUCAAACUGUAAUAAAGUUGUUGGGUUAACCUAACAUAAACUAAAGUCUAUGCAUUAAUACCAUUCAAGGAAUACAACUAAAGCACAGUGACAGCAACGUAUAAUCACUGUCUGGCAAACAUAUAAACAACGUACUAUAUGUACAACCAUGGAAAUGUUAUUGUAUCGUGUAGCGAUAUAUCAAUGAACUGUGACUACAUGCCUAUCAACAGACAAGACAUGACAUUGUGUAAGGGCUAUAGGACAGUUUCAUUGUUGGUUUACAAAAAGGACCCUCCACCGGUAUACGAACACUACCAAAGUCAAACUGGAACAAAGCGUUCUUCAUUAUAAUCCUCAGCAACUUUUUAUCACAGAUCAGUAUCGACAGGAAACGCACAAAAACCUUGCUUCAGCUGCUGUCUGCCAAGUGAGAUUCGGCCGCAGAAAAAAAAA